rnacentral:rRNA from 1 species
UACGAAGGUGGCAAGCGUUGUUCGGAUUUACUGGGCGUACAGGGAGCGUAGGCGGUUCGGUAAGCCCUCUGUGAAAUCUCCAGGCUUAACCUGGAACAGUCGGAGGGGACUGCUGGGCUAGAGGACGGGAGAGGAGCGCGGAAUUCCCGGUGGUAGCGGUGAAAUGCGUAGAGAUCGGGAGGAAGGCCGGUGGCGAAGGCGGCGCUCUGGACUGCAACUGACACUGAGGAACGAAAGCCAGGGGAGCAAACGGG